rnacentral:rRNA from 1 species
GACGAACGCUGGCGGCGUGGAUUAGGCAUGCAAGUCGAACGGUAUCAUCCUUUCGGGGGUGAGAGAGUGGCGAACUGGUGAGUAACACGUAGGUUAUCUACCCUCAAGACGGGGACAACCCAGGGAAACUUGGGCUAAUACCGGAUGUGAGCAACUUUUAGUUGUUUGAAAGGUGGCGUAAGCUGUCGCUUGGGGAUGAGCCUGCGUCCUAUUAGUUAGUUGGUGAGGUAACGGCUCACCUAGGCAAUGAUAGGUAGGCGGCCUUAACGGGUGGUCGCCCACACUGGGAUUGAGAUACGGCCCAGACUCCUACGGGAGGCAGCAGUCGAGAAUAGUCUACAAUGGUCGGAAGACUGAUAGUGCGACGCCGUGUGAACGAUGAAUCCCUUCGGGGUGUAAAGUUCUUUUAUAUGUGAGCAGUGCUUCUUAUAUUAACAGUAUGGGGAAGAGAUAUUAGCAUAUGAAUAAGCAACGGCUAACUCCGUGCCAGCAGCCGGGUAAUA